AUUGCAUUUCUCAUUUUAAAGGCCGGAUCAUCCACAAAUUUUAUCACACUCUAUGAUGACUACAGACAGCCAAGUGACACGUGCCACCAGAAGCUAAAGGCAUUUUAUAUGUGCAAACAUACCCCCAACCCACCCACCACCACCAAAUUCAUGCAUAGCCACUGAUGCAAAUUAGUAAAAUUUUGUUCUGCAACCAUCAUUAAUCAGUCUAUCAAGCAAAGCGCACACUCAAAUGACAGCCACACUAUCCGUUAACUAGACUAAUCAUUUGAAACCCAGACACCUUAGAAUAACUUUUUAAACCAUGCCAUGUAAAGGAUACUGUAAUAACAAAGUCCUAAGUCACCUAUCAUUAAAAUUUUUAAAAAA
rnacentral:misc_RNA from 1 species